UACGAGAAAGGUCGAAAGAGGAAAUUCAUUCGCGUUUCAAUUGUUGGAGUUGAAUGAGUUGUGUGACGGAUGGUGUUUCGUACAUUGUCUGCGCCGUUUGUUCAUCGAACCGAUAUUGAACGCGUGCACUUUUCCUCUAGUAGGACGUUGCGAUCCGUUGAGUGUCUGUUUAAGACUUAAAGUGGAGACCAUGUGAUAUUUGAAUAAAUUUCAUUAUGGACCUUUGAUGUUCCGACAGACUCGCUCGACGGUAUAUUUGUUAGGCACAAGGCCGCUAAUUCUUUAAUUAGCGUUCGGCCCGUAGCAAGCACGUUCUGUUUUUGAUGGUGUGUCGGACCUAGUUUUGCCGAUUCCAUCUCAGAACGACUGUUGGUUGCGGUGUUCUCGAACAGACCUUGAUAUGAAAUGCCGAUCAGCAACGCUAUAGCUUUGGGUACUUUCAGGACCCGUCUUGAAACACGGACCAAGGAGUCUAGCAUGUGCGCAAGUCAUUGGGAUAUUAAUAAACCUAAAGGCGUAAUGAAAGUAAAGGUCUACCUUAUGUGUAGACCGAGGGAGGAUGAGUUGUUUGCCCAAAAAGUGGCGGCUCCGCACUCCCGGGGCGUCUCAUUCUCAUUGCGAGAAGAGGCGCACCAAGAGCGUACACGCUGGGACCCGAAAGAUGGUGAACUAUGCCUGGUCAGGACGAAGUCAGGGGAAACCCUGAUGGAGGUCCGUAGCGAUUCUGACGUGCAAAUCGAUCGUCGGAACUGGRW
rnacentral:rRNA from 1 species